rnacentral:rRNA from 1 species
AUGGGCCGCGACGCCGAGGAAGCGUCCCAGCCGGCGUCGUCGCCGGAGUACGAGCAGGACGACGACGAGGAGGACUGCUACCUGAGCGAUCAGGAGGACGAUGCCCUAGAGGAGUCCGUCCUCCAGGUCCUCGAGGACGGCAACCUCGAGGACUGCCAUUGGUCCUCCUCCUCCGUGAUCACCAAGGAAUACCUCUUGGCGGCGCAGAGGGAGGAUCUGAGGAAGGUGAUGGAGCUGCUAGGGUUAAAGGAGCACCACGCAAGGACGCUUCUGAUCCACUACCGCUGGGAUGUGGAGAGGAUAUUCGAGCUGCUCGAUCAGAAGGGGAGGGAUAAGCUCUUCUCCGAGGCUGGUAUUCCUCUCGGAACCGCCAAUAAUGCUGGCUCGCCCUCUGCGACGGAGGUCACCUGCAAUGUUUGCUACGAUGAUGUGCCCCUCUCGGCCGCUUCCCAUAUGGACUGCGGCCACAACUACUGCAAUGAAUGUUGGACAGAAUAUUUCAUUGUGAAAAUAAAUGAGGGGCAGAGUCGGCGUGUCAAGUGCAUGGCUCCAAAGUGCAAUGCCAUCUGUGAUGAAGCAUUAGUCCGGAAGUUAGUAAGUGCAAAGCGCCCAGAUAUUGCUGAGCGCUUUGAAAGGUUUUUACUGGAAUCUUAUAUCGAGGACAAUGAUACAGUCAAGUGGUGCCCCAGCACACCACAUUGUGGAAAUGCUAUACGUGUCAAAGGUGAUAUUCAUUGCGAAGUGGAAUGUACAUGUGGACGCCAGUUUUGUUUUAAUUGCUCCUCAGAAGCACAUUCCCCUUGUUCCUGCGUGAUGUGGGAGCUCUGGAUCAAGAAAUGUCGUGAUGAAUCAGAGACUGUGAAUUGGAUAACAGUAAAUACUAAGCCCUGUCCCAAGUGUCACAAACCCGUUGAGAAGAAUGGUGGCUGCAACCUGGUUGCAUGUAUAUGUGGACAAGCAUUCUGUUGGUUAUGUGGUGGUGCUACUGGUAGAGAUCACACAUGGUCAAGCAUUAGCGGCCACAGUUGUGGCCGAUUCACAGAAGAUCAGUCAACGAGAACAGAACAAGCAAGGCGAGACCUCUAUCGAUAUAUGCACUACCACAACAGAUACAAGGCACAUACUGAUUCUCUUAAGCAGGAAGCAAAGCUUAAGCGUGACAUCCAGUGGAAGAUAUCCAUUUCUGAAAAUAAGGAAUCCAAGAUAAAAGAUUACUCUUGGGUGAUAAAUGGACUGAACAGGCUUUUCAGAUCAAGGCGUGUUCUUUCAUAUUCUUAUCCUUUUGCAUUCUACAUGUUUGGUGAUGAGAUCUUCAAGGAUGAGAUGACUCCUGAGGAAAGAGAACUCAAGCAGAAUCUGUUUGAGGAUCAGCAACAGCAAUUAGAGUUCAAUGUUGAAAGGUUAUCUGGUUUCCUUGAGAAGGAUUUUCAAAAUUUUAGUGAUGAGGAGGUUAUGGAUACAAUGAAGCAUGUUAUCAAUCUUUCCAAUGUGGUAGAUAGGCUCUGCAAGCAAAUGUAUCAGUGCAUCGAGAAUGAUUUGUUAUACCCUCUCCGCACGCCUCAUAAUAUUGCCCCAUACAAAUCCAAGGGUCUUGAUAGAGCCUCAGAGCUCCAUAUUUGUUUGGACUCUGCUGAACAAAGUUCACCAUCUACGAAGUGUAGUCAGGAUGAACACAAGAGUCAACCUGGUUUAUGUAGCGAACCAGGCUCAUCUCUUACGGGAAAGCGACCUAUUCUUCAGAUGCACGGGUCAAGUUCCGACAACAGUGGACGCCCGUCUCACAAGAGAGAGAGAAGAGACGCUCAUGGCGGCGGUGCUCUUUUCGAUCUCAACAUGCCAGCCGAAGUGGCGGACAAGAUCUGA